GGUUACUGCUAUCGAGGUUCGACUAAGCCAUGCGAGUCGAAUGUAGCAAUACAUGGCGUACUGCUCAGUAACACGUGGACAACCUACCCUUAGGCCUGGGAUAACCCCGGGAAACUGGGAAUAAUACCGGAUAUCUCGCGAAUGCUGGAAUGCGUCGCGAUAGAAAGCUCCGGCGCCUAAGGAUGGGUCUGCGGCCUAUCAGGUAGUAGUGGGUGUAACGUACCUACUAGCCUACGACGGGUACAGGUUGUGAGAGCAAGAGCCCGGAGAUGGAUUCUGAGACACGAAUCCAGGCCCUACGGGGUGCAGCAGGCGCGAAAACUUUACAAUGCUGGAAACAGCGAUAAGGGGACCUCGAGUGCCAGGAUACAAUCCUGGCUGUCGUAAUGCCUAAAAAGCAUUGCAUACAAGGGCCGGGCAAGACCGGUGCCAGCCGCCGCGGUAACACCGGCGGCUCGAGUGGUAACCGCUAUUAUUGGGUCUAAAGGGUCUGUAGCCGGCUGACUAAGUCUCUUGGGAAAUCUGACAGCUUAACUGUCAGGCUUUCAAGAGAUACUGAUCGGCUCGAGACCGGGAGAGGUGAGAGGUACCUCAGGGGUAGGGGUGAAAUCUUGUAAUCCUUGAGGGACCACCAGUGGCGAAGGCGUCUCACCAGAACGGAUCUGACGGCAAGGGACGAGAGCUAGGGGCACGAACCGGAUUAGAUACCCGGGUAGUCCUAGCCGUAAACGAU
rnacentral:rRNA from 1 species